rnacentral:rRNA from 1 species
UAUAUGGGUAGGGGAGCGUUCUCAUCGGAUUGAAGCAGUACCGUAAGGAGUUGUGGACUGGUGAGAAGUGAGAAUGUCGGUAUGAGUAGCGAAAAGAAUGGUGAGAAUCCAUUCCACCGAAAGCCUAAGGGUUCCUGAGCAACGAUCGUCGUCUCAGGGUAAGUCGGGACCUAAGCCGAGGCGGAAAAGCGUAGGCGAUGGACAACAGGUUGAAAUUCCUGUACCGGUGUGAAUCGUUUGAUCGAAGGAGUGACACAGUAAGGUAGGUCAGCACGCGAUUGGAAGUGCGUGUUUAAGCAUGUAGGUUGAGUUAUAGGCAAAUCCGUAACUCUAAAAGCUGAGAUGUGAUGACGAGCUGUUUACAGCGAAGUGAUUGAUCCUACACUGUCGAGAAAAGCUUCUAGGUAGAGACACAUCGCCCGUACCAAAACCGACACAGGUAGGCGGGGAGAGAAUCCUAAGGUGCGCGGGAAAACCCUCGUUAAGGAACUCGGCAAAAUGCCUCCGUAACUUCGGGAAAAGGAGGACUCAUGUAGUGUGAAGGGCAGUAACGCGUGGAGCAUGAAUGAGUGGCACAAGAGAGGCGCAAGCGACUGUUUACCACAAACACAGGUGCCUGCUAAAGCGAAAGCUGAUGUAUAGGUGCUGACACCUGCCCGGUGCUGGAAGGUUAAGAGGAGGGGUUAGACUUCGGUCGAAGCUCUGAAUUGAAGCCCCAGUAAACGGCGGCCGUAACUAUAACGGUCCUAAGGUAGCGAAAUUCCUUGUCGGGUAAGUUCCGACCCGCACGAAAGGUGUAACGACUUGCGCACUGUCUCAACGAGGGACCCGGUGAAAUUGAAGUACCUGUGAAGAUGCAGGUUACCCGCGACUGGACAGAAAGACCCCAUGGAGCUUUACUGCAACCUAAGAUUGAACUUAGUUAAUGAAUGUACAGGAUAGGUGGGAGACUUAGAAUCUAGGGCGCCAGUCUUAGAGGAGUCGUUGUUGGGAUACCACCCUUUGAUUAAUUGAUUUCUAACAGGCCGAUUAACAACCGGCUGGACAGUCUUAGGCGGGCAGUUUGACUGGGGCGGUCGCCUCCUAAAGAGUAACGGAGGCGCCCAAAGGUUCCCUCAGAGCGGACGGAAAUCGCUCGAAGAGUGUAAAGGCAGAAGGGAGCUUGACUGCGAGACGGACAGGUCGAGCAGGGACGAAAGUCGGGCUUAGUGAUCCGGUGGUGCCGAGUGGAAGGGCCAUCGCUCAACGGAUAAAAGCUACCCUGGGGAUAACAGGCUAAUCUCUCCCAAGAGUCCAUAUCGACGGGGAGGUUUGGCACCUCGAUGUCGGCUCAUCACAUCCUGGGGCUGAAGUAGGUCCCAAGGGUUCGGCUGUUCGCCGAUUAAAGUGGUACGUGAGCUGGGUUCAGAACGUCGUGAGACAGUUCGGUCCCUAUCCAUCGCGGGCGCAAGAAACUUGAAGGGGGCUGCUCCUAGUACGAGAGGACCGGAGUGGACGAACCGCUGGUGUACCAAUUAUCCUGCCAAGGGUACAGUUGGGUAGCUACGUUCGGGACGGAUAAACGCUGAAAGCAUCUAAGCGUGAAACCAGCCUUGAGAUGAGGUUUCU